rnacentral:rRNA from 1 species
AAGAACUGUAAUGCCAUUAGUUUGGUGUUGCAGGGAAACAGGACUAUUACUUUGAAAAAAUUAGAGNGUUUAAAGCAGGCUAACGCUUGAAUACAUUAGCAUGGAAUAAUGAAAUAGGACGUUUGAUCCUAUUUUGUUGGUUUCUAGGGUCGACGUAAUGAUUAAUAGGGAUAGUUGGGGGGCAUUAGUAUUCAAUUGUCAGAGGUGAAAUUCUUGGAUUUAUUGAAGACUAACUACUGCGAAAAGCAUUUUGCCAAGGAUGUUUUCAUUAAUCAAGAACGAAAGUUAGGGGAUCGAAGACGAUCAGAUACCGUCGUAGUCUUAACCAUAAACUAUGCCGACUAGGGAUCGGAUGAUGUUAAUUUUUAAUGACUCAUUCGGCGCCUUACA